GAGUGAACGCUGGCGGUCGGCCUAACACAUGCAAGUCGACCGGCAGCACAGUAAGAGCUUGCUCUUACGGGUGGCGAGUGGCGGACGGGUGAGGAAUACAUCGGAAUCUACUUUUUCGUGGGGGAUAACGUAGGGAAACUUACGCUAAUACCGCAUACGACCUACGGGUGAAAGCAGGGGAUCUUCGGACCUUGCGCGAUUGAAUGAGCCGAUGUCGGAUUAGCUAGUUGGCGGGGUAAAGGCCCACCAAGGCGACGAUCCGUAGCUGGUCUGAGAGGAUGAUCAGCCACACUGGAACUGAGACACGGUCCAGACUCCUAUGGGAGGCAGCAGUGGGGAAUAUUGGACAAUGGGCGCAAGCCUGAUCCAGCCAUACCGCGUGGGUGAAGAAGGCCUUCGGGUUGUAAAGCCCUUUUGUUGGGAAAGAAAAGCAGCAGGUUAAUACCCCGCUGUUCUGACGGUACCCAAAGAAUAAGCACCGGCUAACUUCGUG
rnacentral:rRNA from 1 species